ACUCAUUGCAGCCAAUAGGGUCGUUACAGGGAUAAAAGCUUUCAUGUAAGCUAGCAUCCAUUAAGCUUCGCAAACGUGGGAGAAGACAAAAGACAAAAUGAUCAGAGUUUGAUACAUUUUUUUUCUUUUACGCUGUGGUGAAGUUAGGUUUUUGCUUUUCCACCUGUCUUGUCUGGAAAAACAUUUUUUUACGGAGCGGGACUUGAAACUCAAAACCCUCCAGAGUAACAAGAGACAAGGCGACCAGGAAUCAAACCGAUUUGUUGCCAUGGCGCAAAUAUCAGAGACGUCCGUGCCAUCGCCACGGUGAUGGGCUGGAGCUGGUCAGAUGUGAAGGGAAGAGCAGCUGUGCGGUAUCUGCGCCUGAUGUCAGGAGCGGGCCUUGAAACAGAAGUGGGCUGACUCAGUCACUGACGCCGCCGACGCUGACAUCCAAACAAAGAGGCAGAGGAAAUAAGCCAUGGCGUGGAAUCAACAAACAGCUGUCAGCCGUCGCUGCGUUACACUGAUGGGCGCCACGCAGCUUAAACGGGAGAGGACAGAUGGACACGCUCCGUUUGGGUGACGGACUGCACAGCCCUGGGAAAGAAACUGACAAAAACCAGUUCCAGAUGACCAGAGAAGUCUGGCUGGUACAUCCUGGGUCAGGAGGUCAAGCAUAUAUUGAGGUUUCUAAAGCAUUCAAAGCUUUUUAAACCAGCAACACAAUCGUAAAGUCUACCCUCUGGCUGACAGGCAGCCGUUGUAGAGACCUGAGAACUGGACCCAUGGGGUCUAGAGACCAAGGACAGGAGAGAAGCAGCACAAGAAUCUUGCAGUACGUCUCCAAAUGUAGCUGAAGAUGGUGAGUGGCGUCCUUUUGUCUUUCUGGAGGUAGAAGAUGCGGUGGGAGGUAGCAGGUCCUGUGGCUUGAGUUAUUGUGGAGCUGAAGGACGAAGCGUGAGGUCUGGAGACGGUUUGCUGUCGGCACUCGAAAUGGAAGAAUUCUGAAAAUAAGAAACGGUUCAGGAGCUGUAAACUUGAGGAACAACUUUGAGCUAAGCAUGAACAAAACUUUUCGUACUGCCAGGUCCUAUACCCGAGGUAGUAGACGAAUACCGGGAGCUGCAGAGCUUAAAUGCUGGAGCUGAACAGCUGAGUUGAUGAGGUGAGAGCAGAAGAACCUCAGGCUGAGGAGAGGAAGGAAGGGGAGGAAAGGAAAGAAACGAGUCCCAACGCUGGGCGAACCAUGACACCGGAGCGGUCCAGCUAUGGCAGAUGACUCCCAUUGGCUACGGAUGGCUCCAGUCCUGCCAAAGAGUCUGAACUCAUGUAGAUUUACAUGAUAACCUAACAUUUAUAUAGGAAGUACAUAAGUUGACUUGUAAAGGAACCCUCUUUCUGCAGUGAUUUUGGAUUAAAUGACCAUAAGAAGCUCUACCACACACUUUAGCCUCGUUUCCACUGAGUAUUCUGGUACGGUCUGGUAUUUUGACCUUUUCUAUUGUAAAAUAGACCCAAUAAACAGUUCUGAUGCCUACAUCUUGAGGGCCCCAUCUGUUGUGGGUAAUAGAAAAAUGGAACGUGGGGGUUGGGGCGGAGCCACUAUUGCCACCUGCUGAUUAAAACUGGACACAUCAGAUUUCAGUGUUUUUUUAAAACAAAGUCUUGGUUCUAUCAGCUGCAGUGCUGUCCUCCUGUUUUACCAGGUUGAUUUGAUGUGUGUGUCUUUUAAAAUGGUUUAUGAAUUUUUAACAAUUAUUUUUUGUUUUAUUUCUUGUAUUUUAUUCUCAUUUUACACAUAUUUAUAAUUGUAAAACAGAAAAAGCCCAGCUUGGGCAUGGGACUGCUAUUUACAGUAUGUCUAUGAUUUUAUAUAUGUCCUUGUUCAAUUAAUAAAUCCAAUUCAAUUCAAUAUUUUAGAAUAUUUAUAUUUUAGAAUAUUUUAAUUAUUUCC